GUUUUAAUAGUUUAAAUUUUAAAACCCUGGUCUUGUAAACCAGAAAUGAAACAAAUUUCUUAAAACU
rnacentral:tRNA from 1 species